CCUACGGGGGGCAGCAGUGAGGAAUAUUGGUCAAUGGACGAGAGUCUGAACCAGCCAAGUAGCGUGAAGGAUGACUGCCCUAUGGGUUGUAAACUUCUUUUAUAUGGGAAUAAAACGUUCCACGUGUGGGAUUUUGUAUGUACCAUAUGAAUAAGGAUCGGCUAACUCCGUGCCAGCAGCCGCGGUAAUACGGAGGAUCCGAGCGUUAUACGGAUUUAUUGGGUUUAAAGGGAGCGUAGGUGGAUUGUUAAGUCAGUUGUGAAAGUUUGCGGCUCAACCGUAAAAUUGCAGUUGAAACUGGCAGUCUUGAGUACAGUAGAGGUGGGCGGAAUUCGUGGUGUAGCGGUGAAAUGCUUAGAUAUCACGAAGAACUCCGAUUGCGAAGGCAGUUCACUGGACUGCAACUGACACUGAGGCUCGAAAGUGUGGGUAUCAAACAGGAUUAGAUACCCCAGUAGUC
rnacentral:rRNA from 1 species